rnacentral:rRNA from 1 species
CCUACGGGAGGCAGCAGUGGGGAAUAUUGCGCAAUGGGGGAAACCCUGACGCAGCAACGCCGCGUGAGUGAUGAAGGCCUUCGGGUCGUAAAGCUCUGUCAGGUGGAAAGAAGGGUUCGACGCCGAACAGGCGGAGAAUCCGACGGUACCGCCAAAGGAAGCACCGGCUAACUCCGUGCCAGCAGCCGCGGUAAUACGGAGGGUGCAAGCGUUGUUCGGAAUCAUUGGGCGUAAAGCGCGUGUAGGCGGCCCGCGAAGUCGGAGGUAAAAUCCCUUAGCUCAACUAAGGAAGGCCAUUCGAUACUGGCGGGCUUAAGUACGGGAGAGGAGAGUGAAAUUCCCAGUGUAGAGGUAAAAUUCGUAGAGAUCGGGAGGAACACCGGUGGCGAAGGCGGCUUCCUGGACCGAUACUGACGCUGAGGCGCGAAAGCGUGGGGAGCAAACCGGAUUAGAUACCCGGGUAGU